GACGAACGCUGGCGGCGUGCCUAAUACAUGCAAGUAGGACGCAGUUGCGAACGGGGGAGUAACGCGUAGGUAACUGCCUCUUAGAGGGGGAUAACUAUUGUAAAAGAUAGCUAAUACCGCAUACUAGUAGAUGGACCUGCGUUGUAUUCGCUAGUAGGUAGGGUAAUGGCCUACCUAGGCGACGAUACAUAGCCGACCUGAGAGGGUGAUCGGGCAAACUGGGACUGGGAAAAGGCCCAGACUCCGACGGGAGGCAGCAGGAGGGAAUCUUCGGCAAUGGGGGGAAACCUGACCGAGCAACGCCGCGUGAGUGAAGAAGGUUUUCGGAUCGUAAAGCUCUGUUGGUAAGGAAGCGGUACUUAACCAGAAAGGGACGGCUAACUACGUGCCAGCCGCCGCGGUAAUUC
rnacentral:rRNA from 1 species